UUGGUGGGGUAAUGGCCUACCAAGGCUUCGACGGGUAGCCGGCCUGAGAGGGUGACCGGCCACACUGGGACUGAGACACGGCCCAGACUCCUACGGGAGGCAGCAGUGGGGAAUAUUGGACAAUGGGCGGAAGCCUGAUCCAGCAACGCCGCGUGAGGGAUGACGGCCUUCGGGUUGUAAACCUCUUUCAGCACAGACGAAGUUGCCCUUUUGGGGUGGUGACGGUAUGUGCAGAAGAAGCACCGGCCAACUACGUGCCAGCAGCCGCGGUAAUACGUAGGGUGCGAGCGUUGUCCGGAAUUAUUGGGCGUAAAGGGCUCGUAGGCGGUUUGUCGCGUCGGGAGUGAAAUCCACUGGCUUAACUGGUGGCUUGCUUUCGAUACGGGCAGACUGGAGGUAUGCAGGGGAGAACGGAAUUCCUGGUGUAGCGGUGAAAUGCGCAGAUAUCAGGAGGAACACCGGUGGCGAAGGCGGUUCUCUGGGCAUGUCCUGACGCUGAGGAGCGAAAGUGUGGGGAGCGAACAGGAUUAGAUACCCUGGUAGUCCACACCGUAAACGUUGGGCGCUAGGUGUGGGAUCCAUUCCACGGGUUCCGUGCCGCAGCUAACGCAUUAAGCGCCCCGCCUGGGGAGUACGG
rnacentral:rRNA from 1 species